rnacentral:rRNA from 1 species
UAGUCAGAGAGGGGAGGAAGGGCCUGACUACUGACUACUGGCUACUGGCGGCUGGAGUUAGUGGCGGACGGGUGAGUAACACGUAGGUGACCUGCCCUGGAGAGGGGGACAACCCCUGGAAACGGGGGCUAAUACCCCAUAGGCUUGGUCAUUCGGUUGGUCAAGGAAAGGUUGAUUCGUCAACCGCUCCAGGAGGGGCCUGCGGCCUAUCAGCUAGUUGGUGGGGUAAUGGCCCACCAAGGCGGACGGGUAGCUGGUCUGAGAGGACGAUCAGCCACACGGGCACUGAGACACGGGUCCGACUCCUACGGGAGGCAGCAGUGAGGGAUCUUGCGCAAUGGGCGAAAGCCUGACGCAGCGACGCCGCGUGGGCGAGGAAGCCCUUCGGGGUGUAAAGCCCUUUUCUGGGGGAGGAUGGUGACAGUACCCCAGGAAGAAGUCUCGGCUAACUACGUGCCAGCAGCCGCGGUAAAACGUAGGAGGCGAGCGUUAUCCGGAAUCACUGGGCGUAAAGGGCGUCUAGGCGGCCUGGUAAGUCCAGCGUGAAAGCUCCUGGCUCAACUAGGAGAGGUCGUUGGAAACUGCGGGGCUUGAGGGCGGGAGAGGGGGGUGGAAUUCCCGGUGGAGCGGUGAAAUGCGUAGAGAUCGGGAGGAACACCAGUGGCGAAGGCGGCCCCCUGGCCCGCAACUGACGCUGAAGCGCGAAAGCGUGGGGAGCGAACGGGAUUAGAUACCCCGGUAGUCCACGCUGUAAACGAUGGGUGCUAGGUGUGGGGGGGUUAGACCCCUUCCGUGUCGGAGGUAACCCGAUAAGCACCCCGCC